rnacentral:rRNA from 1 species
UCAGAUCAAGAUGCAGAUUAUAGUUAAGAAUAUAAUGGAUUACAAUAAAUUUAUUUAAAUGGAUUUUAAUUUGUAAAAAUUAAUUGAAAGUGGAUUUAAAUGUAAUUUUAUUUAAUUUAAUAAAAUGAUUAAAAAUUAAGAUAUGU